rnacentral:rRNA from 1 species
UGGGGAAUAUUGGGCAAUGGGGGAAACCCUGACCCAGCAACGCCGCGUGAGGGAAGAAGGUUUUCGGAUUGUAAACCUCUGUUCUUGGAGAAGAGAAGGAGACGGUAUCCAAGGAGGAAGCCCCGGCUAACUACGUGCCAGCAGCCGCGGUAAUACGUAGGGGGCGAGCGUUGUCCGGAAUGAUUGGGCGUAAAGGGCGCGUAGGCGGCCGAGCAAGUCAGUAGUGGAAGUCCAAUUUUCAAGGUGGGAACUGCUUUGGAUACUGUCGGGCUUGAGUGCAGGAGAGGUAAGUGGAAUUCCCGGUGUAGCGGUGAAAUGCGUAGAGAUCGGGAGGAACACCAGUGGCGAAGGCGACUUACUGGACUGUAACUGACGCCGAGGCGCGAAAGUGUGGGGAGCAAACAGG